rnacentral:rRNA from 1 species
AAGUCGUAACAAGGUCUCCGUAGGUGAACCUGCGGAGGGAUCAUUACACAAAUAUGAAGCCGGACUGGGAUAGGGCCUCGCUGCCUUGCCCGUCUGGCGCCAUAUUCACCCAUGUCUUUUUGCGUACUACUUGUUUCCUUGGCGGGUCCGCCCGCCAAUUGGACCUUAUUCAAACCUUUUUUUCAGUUGCAAUCAGCGUCAGCAAAACAAAUGUAAUCAAUUACAACUUUCAACAACGGAUCUCUUGGUUCUGGCAUCGAUGAAGAACGCAGCGAAAUGCGAUAAGUAGUGUGAAUUGCAGAAUUCAGUGAAUCAUCGAAUCUUUGAACGCACAUUGCGCCCUUUGGUAUUCCAAAGGGCAUGCCUGUUCGAGCGUCAUUUGUACCCUCAAGCUUUGCUUGGUGUUGGGCGUCUUGUCUCUCUCCCGAGACUCGCCUUAAAAUCAUUGGCAGCCGGCCUACUGGUUUCGGAGCGCAGCACAUUAUUUGCGCUCUUGUCCAGCCGCGGUCGCGCGUCCAUGAAGCUUCUUUCAACCUUUUGACCUCGGAUCAGGUAGGGAUACCCGCUGAACUUAA